rnacentral:rRNA from 1 species
UACGGGGGGGGCAAGCGUUGUUCGGAAUUACUGGGCGUAAAGGGCUCGUAGGUGGCCAACUAAGUCAGACGUGAAAUCCCUCAGCUUAACUGGGGAACUGCGUCUGAUACUGGAUGGCUUGAGUUUGGGAGAGGGAUGCGGAAUUCCGAGGUGUAGCGGUGAAAUGCGUAGAUAUCUGGAGGAACACCGGUGGCGAAGGCGGCAUCCUGGACCAAUACUGACACUGAGGAGCGAAAGCCAGGGGAGCAAACGGG